rnacentral:rRNA from 1 species
UACGGGAGGCAGCAGUAGGGAAUAUUGCACAAUGGGGGAAACCCUGAUGCAGCGACGCCGCGUGAGCGAUUGAAGUAUUUCGGUAUGUAAAGCUCUAUCAGCAGGGAAGAUAAUGACGGUACCUGCAUAAGAAGCCCCGGCUAACUACGUGCCAGCAGCCGCGGUAAU